GAUGAACGCUAGCUACAGGCCUAACACAUGCAAGUCGAGGGGCAUCGCGUGCCGGAUUUCGGUCCGGCACGGCGGCGACCGGCGCACGGGUGAGUAACGCGUACCCUACCUUCCCCUUUCCCGGGGCCAGCCCUGCGAAAGCAGGAUUAAUCCCCGGCGGUGUCCCGGGUCCGCAUGGGUGCGGGACCAAAGGAGCGAUCCGGAAAGGGAUGGGGGUGCGUUCCAUUAGCUUGACGGCGGGGUAACGGCCCACCGUGGCGACGAUGGAUAGGGGUUCUGAGAGGAAGGCCCCCCACACUGGGACUGAGACACGGCCCAGACUCCUACGGGAGGCAGCAGUGAGGAAUAUUGGUCAAUGGGCGAGAGCCUGAACCAGCCAAGUAGCGUGGAGGACGACGGCCCUACGGGUUGUAAACUCCUUUUGCGCGGGGAUAAAGCGCUCCACGUGUGGGGCUU
rnacentral:rRNA from 1 species